rnacentral:lncRNA from 1 species
GUGAUACUUCAGCAAACCUUGGAGGAACUUCAAGAUCCCACGAGGUAGAAGAAUGGAGACUAUCCCUGGCAUAUAUAGCUGGUACGAAGGCACCCAGAGAAACCAUUGCACUUGCUUAAUACCAACAGCCAUGCAGAAGGCCAGCCAUAAAUUUCAGUCCUAUGCCUCAUCAUCAUCAUUGUCAUCAUCAUUAUCUGGGAAAUGUCUACAGUGAUUUACAUUUUGAUCCCUAAAACCACCCUAUAAGGUAGGUAAAUGUCCAUUACACCCAUUUUUUUCAUGAGUUUUCUUGUUAAAUAAGGCUAGCUUUUGGAUUCUCUCUUCAUCUUUUCACAUCUGUAGGCCUUAUUUUAUUCUCUGUAUUUGUAUCCUCAGUGACUGGCAACCAGGAAUUGGUCCAGGUGGCUGCAGUGAUGGGAAGGUCCAGUUGUCAGAAUAGGUGUACAGGGGAAAUUAACUCAGUGGCGGGAAUGUUUGUAGUCCUUCUUUAAGUUCGAAUCUCCUCUCUUCAGGAACUAGAGUGUGUAGAAAAGGAAAAGAGCAGCCAGCCCCAGUUUUAAAGAUGUAUUUUGACUCUUCUUAUAUCCUUUUUAGUAAAUAUCCCUUUGUAAAAGCUAACUGAUGUUAAACAGUUGUUAACAAUAAUGAGAAGAGGGACAGGUAGAUGACUCAGUGGAUUGAGAAUGAAGCGUAGAAACAGUAGAACCUGAGUUCAAAUCUGGCCUUAGACACUUCCUAGCUAUGAGACCCUUGACAAGUCAUUUAACCUCAGUUGCCUAGUGCUUACUGCUUUUCUGUCUUGGAACCAAUACUUAGCAUUGAUUCUAAAACAGAAAGUAAGGGUUAAAAAAAUAGUGAGGACAUAUCAAUAGACAAAAUAAUACUGGGUGUUAAUCCACUGGUAACUAACAAUGGAGGGCAAUAUUUUGGAAUGGGAGUUUUGAACAAUAGCAUUAGAAGAACUUCAUUGCUCCCUAAGGAUUCCCUAGAACCCCAAAGGGGAGAAGUAGCCAGCU